rnacentral:rRNA from 1 species
UUUUAGAAAAUAAUUUAAAGUAGGGCCUGCCCACUGAGUAUUUGAAGGGCCGCAGUAUUUUGACUGUGCAAAGGUAGCAUAAUCAUUAGUUUUUUAAUUGAAAGCUUGUAUGAAUGGUUUGAUGAGAAAAUAGCUUUCUUUGUUUAAAUUUUUAAAACUUUAUUUUUAAGUUAAAAAGCUAAAUAUUUUUAAAAGACGAGAAGACCCUAUAGAGUUUUAUUAUUACGAGAAUUUUUAAAUAUUAGAAUUUAAAAUUUUAAUUUUUUUAAUAAUUUAAUUGGGGUGAUUGAAAAAUUAAUAUAACUUUUUUUUUUAUAAUUACAUUUAUUUAUGAAAAUUUGAUCCAUAAAAAUGAUUAAAAGAUAAAAUUACCUUAGGGAUAACAGCGUUAUUUUUUUUUAGAGUUCAAAUCGAAAAAAGAGAUUGCGACCUCGAUGUUGGAUUAAAGUUAAUUCUUGGUGUAGGUGCUUUGAUAUUUAGUCUGUUCGACUAUUAAAACUUUACA